UUGUACACACCGCCCGUCG
rnacentral:piRNA from 1 species